rnacentral:lncRNA from 1 species
UAUCCCAAUUUGGGCCAGUGAGGAGCACUGCAUUCCCGAUGAAGGAAAAGGACAGCAGCCUGAUGGGCUGCAGAUGUGGGCCCAUCAAGUCGGGGCAGAGGCCAGCAUGUCCAGCUUCCUGGGAUGGCCUUGGCGGGGGGACAUACCCAUGAAUGGAGCAGCAGGAGCAGGCUACUGGGAGGCGAUUGGAGGCAUCAAGAAGACGGUUCCAUGGAAACAUACUACUGUAAAAGUCCAUCAUGACACGGGAACUUGCUCCAUGCUGUAGUGACAAGGCACAAUUCUUCAGCUCUCAGGAUGAUGACUGUACCAUGUAAAGAGGAACCUAGCACAGUGAUGGCCCCACGUCACAUGCCCUGGGGCACUCAGCCUCUGAUGGAAAUCUCUGGUCACCCCCCCCCCCAGGUCAGGACUCUCAUCAUGGCCGUAGGUUUCUGCAGGUCUCUUCUGCUCCUCCCUGGAUAGGGACUGCAUGGGUGGGAGAGACAUGGUGCGUCGUCAUUAACACUCAAAGCUAUUUUGAUUUGGUUACAAGAUUUACAACUCCUCUGAAUCCAAAAAGGACUAGAAGCUUGCAUUACCAAUUUAUACAUAUAGAAGAACAAAUAAAAUUUAAAUUAAGCCUGAGCAAUAAUGACAAAAGACAGAAGGAUCAAUUGUUCAUUUGACUAAGAUACUAAGAUAGCCAGGCAUGGUGGCACAUACCUGUUAUCCCAGCCUCCAGGAGGCUGAUGCAGGAGAAUUAUCAUUUGAGGCCAGCCUAACCUACAUAGUGAGACCCCGUCUCAAAAAACAAAAACAAAAACACACAUAAUUUCGAGCUCCUGGUCCCAAGCCCAAGGCACAAGAAACUGUAUCAUGCUGUUCUAUUGUCUCACAGAGGUUGGGAUUCUCAGGUAGACGGGACAGAGUGCUCUGUUUGAGCAGGAAGGAUUCCCUUAGAUCCCUGGGAAGGGGCCUCCUGCUGCAGAGUAAGCAGUGGUGCAGAGGAGAGGCCUUCUAGAAGGAUUCAGCGGCCACUCUGCCUCCAGGUUUCUUAUUUACAUAUCUCUUCUUCCCCACUCCCAGGGCCCCGACUUGGUGUUUACCAG